UUGGGGGAAAAAAUUAAAAAACCUACUCGCAGCGAACCAUGGGAGUGCACGCUAAGAAAAGGUUGCUUAAUUGCAGCUUCCUACGGAUCUCCACGCUGCGUGAACCUUUUUCCAGAUCUAAAAACAUUGUGAAGUCUCCUCUCUCCCUAGAACUCUCCGUCCAUUUCAAACCCUAGAAUUCAUUAUCUCUCCGUUUCAUCCAAUUCGUUCAAUGGCCAAUUCGUUCAAUGGGUUUAUGAAAGAGCUUCGAUAUGGUUCCUUCCAGCUCUCAUUACAAUCUAGACGAGUGGAUCGACUGCUGAUGUAUCGCAAGCCUCCCCGGCCCUCCUGCAAUAGAGAGAUAAAGAGAUGGCGGAUGAGAGAGAGGACGUCGACCUUGUACUGCGCUUGAAGUUCUACCUUCACUUCGUCAAUUGUGUAGCUAGUCGGGAAAAUAUGGCAGCCAUUAGCAAGUAUAUGGGCUUGAGCAGUGUUAAAUCGGGUCCUAAUCAUGCCCGUGGGUUGUGUUUAUAAUUAUGGCCCCUCAGACGGAUUUUCUGGACCUGCCUGAGGGAGAUGAUCAGAUCACUGAUCAGGAAGCGGAUGAGAAUGAAGCUGCUUCAUGGUUGCUACUUAACCCAGGUGCAGCCGUUCAGGUAAUCAGUUCUGCGAGCCGUUGUAUAACCAGCAGCAGGAAUUCAGUGUGGAGAUGACAGUUAAGUGUAGGGAACCAAAAUAUCACCAAAUACAGUAUCAGAACUUGCUAAAUGUUGUGAAGGAUUCGAUUGUUCAGGGGUAAACUUGUUGGGCAGUAUGUUGCAGCUAAUGACGCUGGACCUCUGAUGUCAACAAUGCAGGUUGUAUUGCUUCUUGUGUUAUCUGGUGCAUUUCUUAGAGCCAAUCAAAUUUGUUUCUCCUGCGAUGCCACCCGAUACUGUGAGAACUGUGGCUGUUCUGUGUGGACAUGCAAUUGCUCAGAGUUCUUCAGCAAUCCUCGGCCAUAGUUAUUUGAGUGGUAACUUUUAUUGUUUGUCUUUGCUUUGUUUCCAAUCCAUUAUUAGUUUUAUACUUCUAACUGACCUCAAGCUGCAAAGAAGAGGGUGGCGGGAUGAUUAGGUUUGGUCUGAUGGUGAUUGCUGCCGGGCAAUGGUGGCUUGGUGGGGUUGUCGAUAUAAUUGCGGUAGUGUAAGGUAGUAGAAUUACAGCUAUUUUGCAUAGAUAUAAAAGGUGUCAUUAAGUUGUAUGGAGUAAAUGAGAUACUCCAUUAAAAAGGAAGAGUAAUGAGAUACUCCAUUAAAAAGGUAAGUGGCGGUUAGAUACUUAGAUAUAGGUAGUGGAGGGAGUGGGUGAAAUAAUGAUAUUCAUUUUAACAUUUUAUUUUUUCCGGAAUUCAUAAUAUACCGUUCUGCUAAAAAUAUGAUGUCUUCGUUUUUAUUUGAAUAAAUGAAUAUCUGAGAGACCAAAUUUCUUUGUUGCCUGAUUUUAAAUUGAUUUUCUAAGAAACUAUAUUUCUUAGUUGUAUGGUUUCUUUAUCUAAGUUACCAAUUAAGUGACAUAUAUGAUUUCUUAGACCAUUUUUGUAGUAGUGCUUCCUUAUAUAGUAGUAGUUGUCCCUCUAAAUUAUAUGUAGCUAAUAACAAAAAUUAUCUCCAUCAACCGUUGCUUUGAGAUUAUAGUGUAGCUAGAUUAUUUAGACUUAUGUAUAUUGAUGAUCUGGAGCUUAUUGUCUAUAAUUGCAACAUACUGCUACAUGCUUAGUAAUCAAUGUCGACCUGAUAUCUUAUUUAUUUAUUUGUUUGUUUAUUUGGGGGGAGGGGGAUAGAUAAUGGUUCAGAAUAUAUAAACAGCCUGGAAAAGACUUGUGUGUCCGUCCACCUUGGAAAAUUUUCACUAUCUGACUUGCCACCUGUCUCUUACGAAAGUCUGAAAUUAUGUUGAUUGUUGUGUUUCUUUAUGAGAACCAAAGCCCAAGUUUCGAAUGGCAAAUCGUUUUGGACUUGGAUCUUCUUUGGAAAAUUAUAUUCUUUGUCAUGACUGUGUUUUAGUUCACAUAGACAAAGUAGUUGAUGGACAUAAUAAUUUAACUUUUGAAGUAGUAAUGCAAACGACAUAGAAAUACAACCAGUAACAAAGAAUAAAGUCAUCAAAUACUAUAUUUACUUAUUGUGUUUAAUGGGUUAAUGCAAAACAUACAUUCGUUUUUUAAAGUUGUUCAAUGUUGGUUUAUUUGUCGGGGAAGUAAAUUUUCAUAUGUUCAUUUUUUAAAUUCAUUAUCCGGGAAGUACUAAUCCCCCGACCUCUCAUCUUGAUUUAUUUGUUUAAUUUCUUUGCAAGGCUCGGUACGAGGAGGAUGACACUCAUUCAAAGAGAGGUAUUCUCCUGCUAUAUAGAGCAUGGUGGGCAACGGAUAGGAGAAUGAGUUUGUUGUCUAGUAAUGUUAUGUUUUAUGUUUUUGUUAUGUGUUGGAUAUGACGUUGGAUGCUACUUGGAGCAUAUAUAUGGUUGUUGGAACAUAUAUGUAUGUUUUGUCUUAUAUACAGGUCUUUGUAAAUUCCCGUUUUGUCCGGGUUUCGCAAAUUACAAGGGAAAUUAUGGCAAAUUUUUUGCAACCUAUUAAACUAUUUAUAAUGUUUUUAUUAUAA